GGAUUAGAUACCCUGGUAGUCCACGCUGUAAACGAUGUCUACUUGGAGGUUGUUGUCUUGAAUGAUGGCUUUCGAAGCUAACGCGUUAAGUAGACCGCCUGGGGAGUACGGUCGCAAGAUUAAAACUCAAAUGAAUUGACGGGGGCCCGCACAAGCGGUGGAGCAUGUGGUUUAAUUCGAUGCAACGCGAAGAACCUUACCUACUCUUGACAUCCAGUGAAUCCUUUAGAGAUAGAGGAGUGCCUUCGGGAACACUGAGACAGGUGCUGCAUGGCUGUCGUCAGCUCGUGCCG
rnacentral:rRNA from 1 species